rnacentral:tRNA from 1 species
ACCCCCGUAGCUUAAUGGACAAAGCAUCCUCUUCCGGAGCGGAAAAUGCAGGUUCGAUUCCUGUCGGGGGUA